rnacentral:rRNA from 1 species
GACAGAGGGGGCAAGCGUUGCUCGGAAUCACUGGGCGUAAAGGGCGCGUAGGCGGGAGGGCAAGUCAGUCGUGAAAUCCUCCGGCUCAACCGGAGAACGUCGGCUGAUACUGCUCUUCUUGAGGGAUGCAGAGGAGACUGGAAUUCCCGGUGUAGCGGUGAAAUGUGUAGAGAUCGGGAGGAACACCGGUGGCGAAGGCGGGUCUCUGGGCAUCUCCUGACGCUGAGGCGCGAAAGCGUGGGGAGCAAACGGG